rnacentral:rRNA from 1 species
UACGGAGGGUGCGAGCGUUGUUCGGAAUCACUGGGCGUAAAGGGCGCGUAGGCGGUCUUAUAAGUCAGAUGUGAAAUCCCCGGGCUUAACCUGGGAACUGCGCUUGUGACUGCACGGCUAGAGUACGGCAGAGGGGGGUGGAAUUCCACGUGUAGCAGUGAAAUGCGUAGAUAUGUGGAGGAACACCAAUGGCGAAGGCAGCCCCUGGGCCGAUACUGACGCUCAUGCACGAAAGCGUGGGGAGCAAACAGGAUUAGAUACCCUGGUAGU